rnacentral:tRNA from 1 species
GGCUUUAUAGUCAAAAAUAUGAUAUUAGACUGCAAUUCUAAGGGUGUAGUAAUACUAAGGCUU